ACCAGACUCCUACGGGAGGCAGCAGUGGGGAAUAUUGCACAAUGGGGGAAACCCUGAUGCAGCGACGCCGCGUGAAGGAAGAAGUAUCUCGGUAUGUAAACUUCUAUCAGCAGGGAAGAAAACAGACGGUACCUGACUAAGAAGCCCCGGCUAACUACGUGCCAGCAGCCGCGGUAAUACGUAGGGGGCAAGCGUUAUCCGGAUUUACUGGGUGUAAAGGGGGCGCAGACGGCCAUGGCAAGCCCGGUGUGAAAGGCAGGGGCAUAACCCCUGGACUGCUCUGGAAACUGUACGGCUGGAGUGCAGGAGAGGUAAGUGGAAUUCCUAGUGUAGCGGUGAAAUGCGUAGAUAUUAGGAGGAACACCAGUGGCGAAGGCGGCUUACUGGACUGUAACUGACGUUGAGGCUCGAAAGCGUGGGGAGCAAACAGGAUUAGAUACCCUGGUAU
rnacentral:rRNA from 1 species